AACGAACGCUGGCGGCAUGCCUAACACAUGCAAGUCGAACGAGAUCUUCGGGAUGCCGACGAGUGGCGAACGGGUGAGUAAUAUAUCGAAACGUGCCCAGUAGUGGGGGAUAACUGCUCGAAAGAGCAGCUAAUACCGCAUACGACCUGAGGGUGAAAGGGGGGGAUCGCAAGACCUCUCGCUAUUGGAGCGGCCGAUAUCAGAUUAGCUAGUUGGUGGGGUAAAGGCCUACCAAGGCAACGAUCUGUAGUUGGUCUGAGAGGACGACCAGCCACACUGGGACUGAGACACGGCCCAGACUCCUACGGGAGGCAGCAGUGGGGAAUUUUGGACAAUGGGCGCAAGCCUGAUCCAGCAAUGCCGCGUGCAGGAAGAAGGCCUUCGGGUUGUAAACUGCUUUUGUCAGGGAAGAAAUCUUCUGGGCUAAUACCCCGGGAGGAUGACGGUACCUGAAGAAUAAGCACCGGCUAACUACGUGCCAGCCGCCGCCGUAA
rnacentral:rRNA from 1 species